CAGUGACUGGAAUAAAUGUCCUGAGAAAGGUACUUUCAGAGAAUGUUGCAGAGUAGGUGGAAGGCUUCAGAUGACAGGGAAAUAGGAAAAAUCAAGCCUUUGGAAAGUAGAAGAACUUGAGUUGGAUGUACUGGGGGGGUUGUCUAGAGCUAGAGCCUGGAUCACACCACUUGUUCCUCAUGCUCUGCAUCUGGUCCUUUGGAAGAGCCAAUUACAUGCAGACAAGUCAACUCUACCAUUCUGGGAGCACUGCAUUUUUUUCUUGAGGUGCUGAUGGUCCAAGAAAAUACAGAAAAUGGAUUCUUGCAGGUAUGCAGGGGAACUUGGUGUGUAUUGGGCCAUAUGCUAGAGGUAAGCAGUGACAGAACAGCAGUGCUCAGGUACUGCAGUGAGAAGAGGAGUCAUCAUAAUUCCAUUUUAAUGUGAUUUUUGUUUUUAAUAUCAUUCUGGUUUAUGCAUAGUCAAUUCAAUAAAAUGUGA